AAGUUGUCAACUUGAAAAAUGUGUAAAAUUAAUUUUUAAACACUUUUCUAGUUGACCACUUUUUUAUAGCU
ensembl:ncRNA Y47H9C.18 ncRNA